rnacentral:rRNA from 1 species
GACGAACCGUGCAAACGUUGUUCGGAAUCACUGGGCUUAAAGGGCGCGUAGGCGGCUCGCCAAGUCGGGGGUGAAAUCUUUCGGCUCAACCGGAAAAGUGCCUUCGAUACUGGCGGGCUGGAGGGAGGUAGGGGCAUGUGGAACUUCCGGUGGAGCGGUGAAAUGCGUUGAUAUCUACAGGAACUCCGGUGGCGAAAGCGGCGUGCUGGACCUUUUCUGACGCUGAGGCGCGAAAGCUAGGGGAGCAAACGGG